AAGACGGAGCGCGAACCUGUGGGUUGUGGGAGUUUUGGGGGCGAGUUCGGCUUUUGCCGGCUCUGGAAGUUUCAGAUUCCUGUGGAAGAUUCUGGGAAUGUGCCUCUGAACACCUGCAAAACAGCUGACGUUCAUUACAUAGCUCAGCAUCUGAACUAUGUCUCAGGAAGGUGAUUAUGGGAAGUGGACAAUAUCCAGUAGUGAUGAAAGUGAGGAGGAAAAGCCAAAACUAGACAAGCCAUCUACCUCUUCCCUCCCUCAUGCUGGGCAGGGAGCAGCAAAUGAACCAAGAUACACCUGUUCUGAGGCUAGGAAAGCUGCCCAUAAAAGGAAAUUAUCACCUGUAAAAUUCAGCACAGAUUCACAAGCUUCACCUCCCAAAAAGCAGAAGAGUGGUUCCCAGGAAGACCUGGGUUGGUGUCUCUCUAGCAGUGAUGAUGAACUGCAACCAGGAACACAGCAGAAGCAGGCUAAGAACAUGGUGGUCAAAGAAGAGAGCGGCAUCUCUUUUCCCAAAGACAGUGUCACCCAAAGAACUGGAAAUAAUGGCUCUCCUGCCCACCAUGGACUAAAAGAGGAGGAAGAGGAGUAUGAGACCUCAGGGGAAGGCCAAGAUAUUUGGGAUAUGUUGGAAAAAGGGAACCCCUUCCAAUUUUACCUCACUAGAGUCUCUGGAAUUAAGGCAAAGUAUAACGCUGGAGCCCUCCACAUCAAGGAUAUUCUGUCUCCUCUCUUUGGGACACUUGUAUCUUCAGCUCAGUUUAACUACUGCUUUGACGUGGACUGGCUCAUAAAACAGUAUCCACCAGAGUUCAGGAAGAAACCAAUCCUGCUUGUGCAUGGAGAUAAACGAGAAGCUAAGGCUCACUUACAUGCCCAGGCCAAGCCUUAUGAAAACAUUUCCCUUUGCCAGGCAAAGUUGGAUAUUGCAUUUGGAACACAUCACACGAAAAUGAUGUUCCUGCUGUACGAAGAAGGCCUCCGGGUUGUCAUCCACACCUCCAACCUCAUCCAUGCUGACUGGCACCAGAAGACUCAGGGAAUAUGGUUGAGCCCCUUAUACCCACGAAUUACCCAUGGAACCCAUACAUCUGGAGAAUCAACAACACAUUUUAAAGCUGAUCUCAUCAGCUACUUGAUGGCUUAUAAUGCUCCUUCACUCAAGGAGUGGAUAGAUAUCAUCCACAAACAUGAUCUCUCUGAAACCAAUGUUUAUCUUAUUGGAUCAACCCCAGGACGCUUUCAAGGAAGUCAGAAAGAUAAUUGGGGACAUUUUAGGCUUAGAAAGCUUCUGAAAGAGCAUGCUUCUCCUAAAGGAGAGUCUUGGCCAAUAGUAGGUCAAUUUUCAAGCAUUGGGUCUAUGGGAGCUGAUGACUCGAAAUGGUUGUGUUCUGAGUUUAAAGAAAGCUUGGUGACGCUGGGGAAGGAAAGCCGGACCCCAGGGAGAAGUUCCAUUCCUCUUCAUCUGAUCUAUCCUUCUGUGGAAAAUGUGCGAACCAGCUUAGAAGGAUAUCCAGCUGGGGGUUCUCUUCCCUAUAGCAUCCAGACAGCUGAAAAACAGAAUUGGCUUCAUUCCUAUUUUCACAAAUGGUCGGCUGACACAUCUGGCCGCAGCAAUGCUAUGCCACAUAUUAAAACAUAUAUGAGGCCCUCUCCAGACUUCAGUCAGAUUGCUUGGUUCCUUGUCACAAGCGCAAAUCUGUCCAAGGCCGCAUGGGGAGCGUUAGAGAAGAACGGCACCCAGCUGAUGAUCCGUUCCUAUGAGCUUGGGGUCCUUUUCCUGCCAUCAGCAUUUGGCCUGGACAGCUUCAAAGUAAAACAGAAAUUCUUCUCAGGGAGCAAGGAGCCAGCGGCCGCCUUUCCUGUGCCAUUCGACCUGCCUCCAGAACUGUAUGGAAGUAAAGAAUAUCCAGUUCAGUUCCCGGCGUGUAAUAAUGGACCGGUGUUUAUUUUCUCCCCUUCCCCUUGCUGAGCGGAGGAUGAAAAGAGCCUAAGGCCCAUGUGGGACGGUCCCUAAACCCACCCAGCGUCUCAGGAUCUGAUGUCACAGAUUAAUACGGGAGAUCGUCACAGAAAAGAGAGUUAAUGGGUUUCAGAUAACACUGGAAUCACAAUUACCAAAGAUUGCAUCUCUACUAGGUCGGUAACCCAGUAUAAAAUAUUUUGGAGCUUUCCUUUGUAUUGCAAGCUGGCAAGUGUUUUAUCCAUUCGUUGAUUUCAGAGUAGGCUAAGGUAAAGUGGCAUCAGAAAUCUCAUUAGUUCAUCUCUUUGGGAUCACUCACACGCCAUAUACAAACACAGUCUGUGCCUGAUACAAGGAAAGAAAGGUGAUUGCUCAGGUGACAGACAGUGGCUUCUAUAGGUAGGAUAUCAAGUUCCCCUGAAGACAGUGGGAAAUGUGUGUAUGGGUGUUUGGACAUGGGGGUCAAGGCCUAACUGUAACACAAGGGCCAUUUCUUAGAGGAUUAGAGCAAAGAGCUUAUUUCCUGGCUAAGUAGAACGGGGUAUUGUAUUUGGGUUUGGCUGUUAAAAAACCUGAUGGACCUACACAGCAUAUAGAAUAAUGACAAUCCUCACCCACUGUGAGUUGAGGGUGGUGAUCAUUAUAAUAUUAUAGCAGCUAGCACUCAUCAAGUACUUAUGUGCCAGGAACUGCUAUGAGCACUUGACCUGAGUUUAUUGAAUCCUCACUGCCCCCAUGAUACCAGUACUAAUAUAACCCCUACUUUAUAGACAAGGAACCUAAGCACUCAGGUCAGUUUGGUCAGGGCCCCAUGUCUGCCAUGUCCAUGACCCCUUUACCAUCACCCUGUGCCACCUCCCCACAGAGAGCUAAGUUAUGGAGUUAAGAGAUGUCAGAUGCACGCAGUCCUCAACUGACUGACCACAGGGACAGAUGGAAUAGACACAGAGAUAAAACCCCUUGGUUGUCCCCUCAUCCCCAGCCUUCCUGCCAUGGCCUUAAUGUUGGCCUCACUGUUUCUCACCUAGGCUGCACUGCCUAUUCAUCUCCCUGGUGUUGGUCCCCUCCCAGUGGACAUCAUCUUCUCCCCUGCUGCCAUGCACCUCUCAUCUUGUCACACUCCUGUUUUAAAUCCUUCCAUUAUAUCACAGGAAAAAGCUCAUCCCAUUUAGCCUCUGAUCUCAAACUCUGAUUGUGUUAAGAUCACCUUUAGAACUUGGUAAGAAUGUGUAAUGCCAGGCCCCAGCCCAGACGGAUGGAAAGAAAUUCCCUCGAGGUGAGCUCUGGGGAAAUGCUCUGGCAAUUCUCACGUCAGCCAGGUUCGGGAACCACUGCGCUGACGUGGUCAAGUUCAGAAUUCUGGCUCCACGGCCUUCCUGCUCGUCUGUCUGUCCCCCUGGACUAUAAACUGAGAGGACCCCUGCUUUGUCUAGCAGAGUACCUGGCAUCUAACCAGCACUCGACAAAUAUUUCAAACAUAUGCAGGACUAUUUCAUGAGGCAAGUUUUUCUUUCAUGGGACAAUUUAGGAGGAUUGCUUAAAACAGGCUUUCAUCUAAGCCAGUAAGUGUGAAUGCUGACUUCCAGUAAUGGUCAGAAGACAACAGUCACAGCCACCUCUUACCUUCCUGUUAGCCUUUUUGCGUCUCUCUCCCCAGGUAGUGGUGAACCUUUCAGCCGGCAUGGCACAUGGUCAGCCCGUAGGCAGAGACAUUUGCUCAUCUAUCGAGCGGUGUGUCCAGGGAUUUGCCAAUGGAUAGUUAUCUUACUUGGUUAUCGUUGGCUAAUUGUGAGGGAGAGGAAUAAAUGCACUGGUGGUCUCCAAGAUGCUGGCUGACUGGCACAUGUUUGCAUCACAAACCCUGCCUCAGUGAAGAAUCUAAUAGCUACUGCCAUAGCAAGGAUCGGGGUGUCCUUUGCCUUGGGGAUGAAGUAGAGCUGAUGUUACCCAACGGAGCAGUCUGCAGGAAAAGAUGGGAGAAGUCCAGCCACAGAAGACCAUGUCCCCCGUGGAAGAAAGCCAGUGGUUCAGGCCAGUGGGGAGCUGUGGGGAGUCUCCAGCACUGCCAAACCCUCAGCCUUUGAUGAAGCGUGUCGCACAGGCCCUGGAUUAUGGCUCUCUCUCAGGCUUAACAAGCUUGCUUCAGGCUCUCCCACCAUCUCAAGGCCGAAGACAAGAGAACAGGGUUCUGAUAACUUGUUGCCAUCUUCAGCCUUCUUUCCCUGCACAUCUGCUGGGUCCUGCUGUUUGCAUGCUGGCGCGGCCGUUAUUCAACACCGUGAGGUGUGAGGAGAGCCUCCCUUUGUUUGCCAGGCCAUCCUCCGAGCUGUGCUCUCUGUUCGGGAAGAGGAGAAAGCUUCCCCGAGAGUGGGUUGGCGGUGCUGGGCGGCUGCUUCUGCCGAUGGUACCCUCAGCACACCUGCCGCGUGGCCGCCUUACUAUCGGCCAUGGAUUUGGAACAUUCCUUAUACCAAAGCACCAGAUACACAUGGGAAUAUGUGGGUUCCCUCCUGAGAAUCUUAAAG